ensembl:miRNA sha-mir-200b sha-mir-200b
GGGGCUCCAGGCCGGGUUAGGUGAGCUGGCUCCUCCUCGACCUUGAUUCGGGGCUACCAUUACCAUCUUACUGGGCAGCAUUGGAUGGUGUCUGUGUUUCUAAUACUGCCUGGUAAUGAUGAUGAUGGGGUCCCGCGGACAACGUGGAAA